GAAAGAUUCAGUGCACAAGUUAUUGUCGCAUAAUAAAUAUGUAUAUAUAAAUGAUUCAUAAAAAACUUUUUACGACUUUUUUUUUUUAAAGCAAUUUUCAAUAUGAUUUAUGAAACUAUUCUAUAUUCGAAAUAUUAAAACUUUUCUGAGUGUCAAAUAUAAAAAAAGAAGAGUUCAAUUUCUUUCUGUUAUCUUCAAUUUUUUAAUAUAAAGAAUUUAAAAUGAAAUUUUUAAUUUUUACUGCAUUACUAUUUACAAUCUCCUCAGCUGAGGCAAUUUUGUGUUACGAUUGUGUCUAUUGUAACGAUCCUUUCGAGCCAAAUUCAGAAUAUAUUAGAAGCUGUAAUGGUACAAUUUGUUCAAAAACAACUCGAUUCUAUGCAAAUGAAAAGAAAACAGUUGUUCUUGCACGUUCAUGUGAAUUAAAUGUAACACUUGGAAUACCAACAACUUAUUGGAAAAAGUACUAUUGCAAUAAAAAUUUUUGUAAUGGUACAUCAUCAUCUAUCAAUACAGCAACAAUUUUUCUCUUUCUUACAGUUUCGAUGCAAUUAUUUAUUUCGUGACAUAAAAUAAUUUUGCAAAACAGUAAUAUCUAUUUUUAUAAGUUACAAUUUUUUUUUAUCUAUUUUUAAUUAUCUGAUUAAUAUUAAUUACAAUUAUCUGAAUUUUCAUGUUUAAUGACCAAUAUUAAUCUUUAAAAUUUAGCCUCCUUUUUUUUUUUGAAAAAGUUUUUCAAUGUUAAUAGAAAAUAAUCUUAUCAACGAACAUCAUCAAAAGUUAUGCGAUUAUUUUUAUAAUAAUCUUGAGAAGAUAUUAAUCUUAAAAUUCGUGUAUUCUCUUACUGCAAUAAUUAUAGAUAUCAAAAAUAAAAAAAAAAAAACUCAGUAUUAACGAGUAUUUCUGAGAAACACAUAUCCUGAAGAAUUAAGUUAAUUUUCAAAUUAAAUUCUAAAUUUUUCUUUUCUUUCUAAUUUACAAAUUAAUUAAAAAAUCAUGAAAUUGGCAAUAAUUAUUUUCAUUAUUUCUACUACAUUAGCUUUAGGAGAGUGUGUAAGUUGUUAUUUUUGUAACAAAAGUGAUUUAAGUUCUAUUGAAGAGAACAAAAUUUGUGGCGAAGAAUUAAUAAAAGAAGAAAUGGAUAAUUGUACUGCAACUUAUUGCUACAAAAUCGUAGCAACAUCUGCAAAUAAUUCAUAUAGUGUACCAACUAUAUGGCGUGGCUGUACAAAUUCACGGUCAAUUCUCGCGUUUGAAAAAAUUCGAUCAAAAAGAUCAGUUGUACAUACAGAAUAUGCAAAUGUUUACUAUUGUGAUUCCGAUUUUUGUAAUAGUGCCACUAAUUCAAGUAUUUUUAUUAUUUUGUUAUUCAUUAGUUUUGUAAAUUUAAUUUUAUAAAAUAAAGAACAUUUAUAUUUCUUAUUAAA